rnacentral:rRNA from 1 species
ACGGGUGAGUAACGCGUGGGAACGUGCCUUCCGGUUCGGAAUAACCCUGGGAAACUAGGGCUAAUACCGGAUACGCCCUUAUGGGGAAAGGUUUACUGCCGGAAGAUCGGCCCGCGUCUGAUUAGCUAGUUGGUGGGGUAACGGCCUACCAAGGCGACGAUCAGUAGCUGGUCUGAGAGGAUGAUCAGCCACACUGGGACUGAGACACGGCCCAGACUCCUACGGGAGGCAGUAGUGGGGAAUAUUGGACAAUGGGCGCAAGCCUGAUCCAGCCAUGCCGCGUGAGUGAUGAAGGCCUUAGGGUUGUAAAGCUCUUUUAUCCGGGACGAUAAUGACGGUACCGGAGGAAUAAGCCCCGGCUAACUUCGUGCCAGCAGCCGCGGUAAUACGAAGGGGGCUAGCGUUGCUCGGAAUCACUGGGCGUAAAGGGCGCGUAGGCGGCGUUUUAAGUCGGGGGUGAAAGCCUGUGGCUCAACCACAGAAUGGCCUUCGAUACUGGGACGCUUGAGUAUGGUAGAGGUUGGUGGAACUGCGAGUGUAGAGGUGAAAUUCGUAGA